rnacentral:pre_miRNA from 1 species
CAAGUACUCCCUUCGUCCAGAAUUACUUGUCAUCAAAAUGGAUGUGUCUAGAACUAAAAUACAUCUAGAUACAUCCAUUUCAAUGACAAGUAUUUUCAGACGGAGGGAGUACAAG